UUUAUAUUUAAAAAAUCAGGGAACAUUACUAAAUUUAAUAUAUAUUUGAUUCAAUCCAGUCCUUUUUUUUUAAGUCAGACUUCUUAUUAGGCUAUUUAUAUAUUUUUUAAAGUUAAUCAUACAUUAUUUAGGAUAUAAGUUUAUUAACUAAUUAAGUAUAUAUAUUACGACGUUAACAAUAAUGGAUUUAAUUUCAUUACAUCUUUAGCUCACCUAUAUCAAAAUUCCCUUUCUUCUCAUCAUACUACUUGUAAUUUACGAGCAGGAAACACUACAUCGUAUUUGACCGAUGUCCAUUAGCAAAGUUCCACCCAUCAGAUAACCAAAUGAAGAAA
rnacentral:lncRNA from 1 species